UGAGGAACAUGACCUUCGGCGGGGGAUAGCCGGCCCAACGGCCGGGUAAUACCGCGUACGACCACAUGGGGACAUCCCUGAGUGGUGAAAGCAGCAAUGCGCCGAUGGAGUGCCUCGCGGCCUAUCAGCUAGUUGGUGAGGUAACGGCUCACCAAGGCGACGACGGGUAGCUGGUCUGAGGAGGAUGGCCAGCCACAUUGGGACUGAGACACGGCCCAGACCUCUACGGGGAGG
rnacentral:rRNA from 1 species